UGGCCCCGCUCUCAGGGUAGCUGCUACGCCUCACGCUGCCUCAGGUGUUGGGUUCCCCUCUGGCUGCUGCCCCACCUCUGGGGGUGACUUCUCCCUCUGUCUCUUCCCUUCUGGGUUCUCCGCUGCGCUGCUCGCAGCCUGCUCCGCAACACCGGCUACAGCUGGCCCCACUCUCGGGGUAGCUGCUACGCCUCCCGCUGCCUUGGGUGGCAAGUUCCCGGCCGGCUGCUGCCCCGCCUCUGGGGCUGACUUCUCCCCCUGUCUCUGCCCCUCUGGGCUCUCCGCUGCGCUGCUCGCAGCCUGCUCCGCCUCUAUCCGGCGGGGUCCUGCACUCCACGGGUGGCGGCUGAUCCCCUGCUCGCUGGAGCUCCGGGCUCCUGCUCUCUCCCUCCAGCCGCCCCGCUGCUUCGGCGGGGCCGCCUUUUGUUCCUCCCGGCCGGCGUGCCCCACCCCCGCCGCUCAGCCGCAGCCGGAUAAACGCCCGGCUGAUGGCCCGCGCCGGCAGCGCCGGCGCGUGGCUUUUCUUCGGGUCUUCCGGCCCUGCGGGAGCUAUUCUUCCUUCGGUCAUGAGAUGACAGCAAGAAUGGAUUGUCAAACUGGACCAUUAUGACAAUUUCCUCUUGGGAAGAAAGUCCUGUGGGUGUUUGAAAGCUUACUGGAGUCAGAGGAGGGACAUACACUUCCAGCUGAAGCAGAGGUGAGGCAAAGGGCAAACAUUCAAACCUUUGUCCCAAAUGCUUUGGAUCCCUCAGAUGAAAAGUUGACCAAUUUAAAGAAGCUCCUGCUGAUGCACAGAAGAAGGAGUUUGCAGAUAUCAUUAAACAUCGCCAGAUGAGGCUGCAGGUAGCCAAAGCCUUCCUUAAUGAAAAUUUAAAGAGAGCAGAUGAAAAUGGUAUUCCUUCAAUCCAACACAACACUGAGCACGUUCUGCCAACCUCAAAGUUAUCCUAAGAUUUGAGUAAGAUCUAAAGCUCCAAGCCUGCAAAACACUGAAGGUUUUAAAUAUUUCUAACAUCAUAUGGUAUUAAAGUUGAGAAGGCAUGCCAACUUUUGCAGUACCAAACAACCCACUGGAAUCACUAGGACUCUCGGAGUGGUAAGGUACUUAUAAGGAUAAUGGAAUUGGGACUCAAAAUGAACAAAACUAUGUAAGUAUCAAGGGCAUCCAAGUUUUCCACUACCACCACAACAUAAGUCAGUAAGUAUCAAUUGGUUGUAUGCUCCCUGAUAUCAACCCAGCCUUAAAAAAAUUAUAAUCAAGUAUUUUGGUGGGAGGGAGUGGCAGAUUGCAUGUCUCAUGUCCUCAGGCUGCUGUGGACCACUGUCUUCCAUGGGGUCAUAGCAGUUGGUAUGCCAUUUCUGUGCAUGGCUGGGAGACCCCUGAUGCCAUGGGAUCUCCUAAGGGUGGGUGAGUUAAGCACCUGCUUUAUACCCAUUUUACACCAUUGUAAAGGAGUCACAACAUGAUUCUCUCUGUGUUAUUGCUUUACCAGCUACAUAAAGGUCUCUACAUACAAUGGAAAUAAUGACUGGGAGUUAGUGCAAAAAUCACUGGCCAUACACCAUAAUGUGUCAGGAUGCAGCUAAACAGAUACUGUUUACCAAACCCUAUGACAAUGUCUACAUCUUCUAGUUACAACACAGCAUAAAAUCCUAUGAAUGAAUAUGGGUUGUAAGUAGCUAGACUGGCUGGGCCCCUGUCCUGCAUAGUUCAGUCUUCUUCCUAGUUUACUGCGCUUAGCUUAAGGAAAUGACACAGUGGGUGCAUUUACUUGAGAUGCUAAAAGCUCAGUAGACUAAUUUACUGUGCAUUAGCACAUCACAGCAAAAGCUGUGCUAAUGCACUAUUGUGCAGUAGAAUUAGUCUACUGUACAUUAAUGUCACUUAAAAGACACGCGCCAGUGCUACUGCGCAGUAGCAUCAAUUACCACACAUUAAGUUAGUACCUGUUAUUACAAGUACUAAACUUAAUGCACAGUAAUUACAGCAUAUUAAUGCACAUGUAGACAUCCCCAAUUAAUAUAGCUAGAGAGCCUUUAAUCCCUGUCAGCUGGCUGUUGAAACUGGCUGGGAAGUACACAGGAAUUUACACAGUUUACAUGUUCAAUGUGUAAUAGGACAGGUAUGUCUUCAUACCUUUGUUAUACAUUGAAUACAAUUCAAUUCUAAUGAUUUUAUAAGAAAACCAAUCACCAGUGACCACACAGAUGUGCACGCAGAUGUACCCUAUUUCACUGCUUUGGUAUGUGUACCGAUUAGUUGACUGUUUAUUAUUGAACCUCCAUUAAAGGCUCCCUAUGCUUCUGGGUCACUUGACUUAUCAUGUUCCAGGUGUGAGCUACAAGAGCCUUUGAAAUCCUUCCUCCUCAUACAUCUGGCACCUAACAAAGCAUGGUACUAUCUUUUAGAAGGAAGAAGGAAGUGGGGAACUUGUUUAGAAGCUAAGACCUUAUUAAACUAAGGAAAAGUGGGGCGGGGGGCUGGAAGAAAAGAAAGGCCUGCUCAGGGCUGAGAUCUUAUUGAGCCAAGGUUGUACUGAAGCCUUAUCAAGACAGUGUCAGGGGUACAGGGCCUCUAGCCUAUCUGACCACAUGCACUUAGGAGAACACACACUAGUCAAUGGCCAACUUUCUAGUUUGCACACUUCCCUAAACCCAGUCCAUCUGUUUUUUCAUAGCUAACUUAAGAAAGGUCAGUUUUUACAUAAUAACUUUUGGGCAGAAACCUUUGUGUGUGCACAUGUGGCUCAUAUUUUAGAGCUAAUUCUGUGCUGAUAUUUAUUUCAUGCUAUCCCCAUGAUUUCAAUGCGGCAUCAUAGGGGUGUAAUUCAUGACUGAGCUUAGUGCAGGGGUGGGCAAAAUAUAGCCUACGAGCCAGAUCCAGCCCACCAAGCCAUUCUAUCCAGCCCACAGGGCACCUAAAAAGUUUAGAAAAUUAAUAUUUAUCUGCUACUGGUUGCCUGUAAAAGAUGAAAGGAGCCAGGGGCAGUAGGACCAAGGGAAAGGUGGCAGGACACAGGAGCAAGCCCAGCCCAGCCCUGCCCCGUCCCCCACUCUACCCCAGAACUGGAAGCUUUUUCCUGCCCUGGCUUUCACUGCUUCCCUGCAUGCCUGCUCCAGCACCACGUGGUCCCAGGCUGCAUCACUGAACUGCAGGAGCAUGGGGCCACACCAGUACCCCAGGGCCAGGAGCAGGAGUGGGUGUGUGUGUGUGUGUAUGGUGAGUGAUGUACAGUGUGUGUGUUCAUAGGAUGACUCCCAUAAGCAUACCCUACCAUACACAUGCACCCACACCCCCCUCGCACUGCCAUACAUGCAGACCCCACCCCCACGCCCCCUCACACACUGCAGCCACCCUCCCCCACACAUAUCCCCCCCACAAACUCCAUACCCACCCAUACCCCACAUAACUACACACACCCACAUGCUCCCUCACCCCACACCCACACUGCCCACACCUAUCCACCCCCUUACAAAUCCCCCACACACCCACACCCUCCCCACACCCCACAAACCCACACACCCACAGCCCCCCCAACCUACACCCACCCCCAUGCCCCCUACCCCCUUACCCCCCAAAUAUACAAAAAUAACUACCCAUGUGGCCCUUGACAGCUUGCCAAAACUCAGUAAGCAGCACUCCACCUGAAAUAAUUUCAUGCCCCUGGCUUAGUGUAUUAAUGAGUAAAUCCAAUCCCCUUCUCUACCACUGCCCAGAGUCUCCAGGCAGCUCUUCUGCUGUUCAAGAUAAACUGCAUGUAUGGAAGCUACACAGAGAGAACAUAUCUGCACAUCAUCCUAGAGUGAGCAGGAGAGGACAACACAUGGACAGUCUGGGAAGAGGUUCCAGAACCAACAGAACUACCAUUGAAUGGGAUUCAAUGAGAGCCCCCUCUAUAGAGCCUGAGAUCCGGAGUCACAGUGCUCCCACUUGGUAUGACACCCUAUCAUCCUGUAAACAGCAGGACACCCACCACAGAAUGCUGCCUAAAUGGGCAAGUUUCCAUGAUGGUGGAGAUGUCGCCAGCAGAAUGCAUGCUGGGGUGUCACAACAAGCAGGAGCUGGUGAUCAGCAGUGAAUCUAAGUCAACAAGACAUGUAGAAAAUUGAGGACAGCUCCUAAAAUAUUCGACUCAUAGCCCAACUUCAUGGAAUUCAUAGCUCUACCUGGCUUGUUACAAAAGCUUGUUUUACAUAUUUGAAAAGUUUUUUUUCGGAAUAAGUUAUUAUGCCACCUUCACAGAACUUUAAGAAAGAAGCAGGAAUGAAAAUAAAAGCAGCCCUCACCGUCAGAUAUUCUAUUAAACAAAAGGAGAUUGCUUAGCGCAUUCCUAGUUCAGCUAUCAACAUGCUCAUAAGAACUGUGAACUACAAUAUGGUUAUGACUAGUGCUCUACCCUGCAUUUGAACAACAGGAGCCUGAUGCUCCUCUCCUUCACAGCUGGUUUAUGACUUUGAUUCCCCUGACUUCAGCGAAGUUACCUCUGCUUUUAGCUUGUGCGAGAAGAGAAUAAGUUCUCCAUGGGUUCUGCACAGAGACUGUCUGUCAAUAACUAUUGGAGUUCUGUGUCUGAAUCUAAGGACGAAUAUGUUUAUACCACUUGAACAGUACUUUACUGUGCUGUUUUAUAAGGGGGAGGGGGAAUCUAUACUAACAUUUUUUCAUAGGUUUCAGAGUUAUGAGAAGAGAUCUGUCAGAAACUCGGUAAAAGUUAAUACAUUUUACAAAAAAUAAAUAGGUGUCAUGAAAGAUUGCAUGGUGAGAUGAGAAGAUUUCUGGGUGAUGAUACAAGGGGAUGCAUUUGACACAGUUGUUUUCCUACCAUCUCUCUAUCAUUUUAUUGUUGUGAUAGGAAUUCAGGCAAAGAAAAAAAACAGUAGUUUUCAUUUUUCAUUUUAAGUGCACAAAGAUCUUUGUCAAUUCUACAUGCUAAUCAUGUAACCUAUCAGAGGGUAUCUACAGGAUCAUGUAUUUAUAGUUGCAACCAAGUAUUUACUUGUGUAAACUCUACCAAUAUAAAAAUAGUAAUCUAUAUGAAAACAGCAAUAGUUCUUUUGGAAGAAUGUAGAAAAUCUAUAACCUGACUCACUGACUAAUGCUAAAAAAAUCAUUCUGACAUUUCCACUCGACUAUACAAGGCUUAUUUUUCAUGAAUUUGACUAUGAAGACUCCUCUUCUACUUCCCUGUUUUACCCAGAUCUUUGUCCUUUAAUUAGCAUUAAACAAACUGGACAACAUCUGGAUUUGACUUAGAUGCAGAAAAGUAUCUAAAAGAUCAGAUGAAGAUGUGAAAAUGAAUCUUGAAAGAGAAUUGCAAUCUUCUCUCCUCACACAAACUCCUCCCAUCAAUCUGCCAUCCAAAAAUGCAGCCAUAAAUUAUUUGAUCCACCAAAGCUUACUUUAUUUUGGCAUCGAUGGCUUCCCCCCCUCCCCCUUUCUAAAUGGUUGUUGUUAAACAAAGCUCAGGAUUAAAUGACAGCUUGAAAAAUG